rnacentral:rRNA from 1 species
AGCUCCAUUAGUUUAUAUUAACGAUGUUGCGGUUAAAAAGCUCGUAGUUGGAUCUCGGUUGUCGCGGUUCGGUUGGCUGAUUGGCUUUAACUGAAUUUGUUAGCGGCUACUGCAUUUUGAGGGUUCUGUUGCGGGUGCUCUUAAUCGAGUGUCCGUGGCGGUCCUCAGGUUUACUUUGAAAAAAUUAGAGUGCUCAAAGCAGGCCUUGUUGCGCUUGAAUAUUGGUGCAUGGAAUAAUGGAAUAGGACGUCGUUUCUAUUUUGUUGGUUUUCGGAAAUCGACGUAAUGAUUAAUAGGGACAGUCGGGGGCAUUAGUAUUCAGACGACAGAGGUGAAAUUCUUGGACCGUCUGAAGACUGCCGAGUGCGAAAGCAUUUGCCAAGAAUGUUUUCAUUAAUCA